CCUACGGGCGGCUGCAGUGGGGAAUAUUGGACAAUGGGGGGAACCCUGAUCCAGCCAUGCCGCGUGUGUGAAGAAGGCCCUCGGGUUGUAAAGCACUUUCAGUGAGGAAGAACGCCUGGUGGUUAAUACCCAUCAGGAAAGACAUCACUCACAGAAGAAGCACCGGCUAACUCCGUGCCAGCAGCCGCGGUAAUACGGAGGGUGCGAGCGUUAAUCGGAAUUACUGGGCGUAAAGCGCGCGUAGGUGGCUUGAUAAGCCGGUUGUGAAAGCCCCGGGCUCAACCUGGGAACGGCAUCCGGAACUGUCAAGCUAGAGUGCAGGAGAGGAAGGUAGAAUUCCCGGUGUAGCGGUGAAAUGCGUAGAGAUCGGGAGGAAUACCAGUGGCGAAGGCGGCCUUCUGGACUGUCACUGACACUGAGGUGCGAAAGCGUGGGUAGCAAACAGGAUUAGAUACCCUAGUAGUC
rnacentral:rRNA from 1 species